rnacentral:rRNA from 1 species
AUUGAACGCUGGCGGCAUGCCUUACACAUGCAAGUCGAACGGCAGCACGGGUGCUUGCACCUGGUGGCGAGUGGCGAACGGGUGAGUAAUACAUCGGAACGUACCUUAUCGUGGGGGAUAACGCAGCGAAAGCUGUGCUAAUACCGCAUACGCCCUGAGGGGGAAAGCGGGGGAUCGCAAGACCUCGCGCGAUUAGAGCGGCCGAUGCCUGAUUAGCUUGUUGGUGGGGUAAAAGCCCACCAAGGCGACGAUCAGUAGCUGGUCUGAGAGGACGAUCAGCCACACUGGGACUGAGACACGGCCCAGACUCCUACGGGAGGCAGCAGUGGGGAAUUUUGGACAAUGGGGGCAACCCUGAUCCAGCAAUGCCGCGUGAGUGAAGAAGGCCUUCGGGUUGUAAAGCUCUUUUGUCAGGGAAGAAACGCCGGCUCUAACACAGUCCGGGAAUGACGGUACCUGAAGAAUAAGCACCGGCUAACUACGUGCCAGCAGCCGCCGUAACAC